AGCAGCCGCGGUAAUUCCAGCUCCAAUAGCGUAUAUUAAAGUUGUUGCAGUUAAAAAGCUCGUAGUUGAAUUUUGGAUUCUGCCAAUUGGUCCAUCUUUUAGAUGAGUACUGGUUGUGUGGGGUCUAUCCGCCUGGUGAUACGUAAUGUCCUUUAUUGGAUGUUUCGGGUAGUCAGGACCUUUACCUUGAAAAAAUUAGAGUGUUUAAAGCAGGCUUAUGCCGGAAUACAUUAGCAUGGAAUAAUAGAAUAGGACGAAGUUGUUUUAUUUGUUGGUUUCUAGGACAACCGUAAUGAUUAAUAGGGAUAGUUGGGGGCAUUAGUAUUCAAUUGUCAGAGGUGAAAUUCUUGGAUUUAUUGAAGACUAACUACUGCGAAAGCAUUUGCCAAGGAUGUUUUCAUUAAUCAAGAACGAAAGUUAGGGGAUCGAAGACGAUCAGAUACCGUCGUAGUCUUAACCAUAAACUAUGCCGACUAGGGAUCGGGCGAUGUUGUUUCCAUGACUCG
rnacentral:rRNA from 1 species